GGACUACUGGGGUUUCUAAUCCUGUUCGAUACCCACGCUUUCGUGCCUCAGCGUCAGUGUGGGGCCGGCAGGCUGCCUUCGCAAUCGGGGUUCUGCGCGAUAUCUAUGCAUUUCACCGCUACACCGCGCAUUCCGCCUGCCUUUCCCCAACUCAAGCCAGCCAGUUUCAACGGCGGGCCGGGGUUGAGCCCCGGGCUUUUACCGCUGACUUAACUCGCCGCCUACGCACCCUUUAAACCCAAUAAAUCCGGAUAACGCUCGCAUCCUCCGUAUUACCGCGGCUGCUGGCAC
rnacentral:misc_RNA from 1 species